AUAGCGUAUAUUAAAGUUGUUGCAGUUAAAAAGCUCGUAGUUGAACUUCAGACCUGGCUGGAUGGUCUGCCUAACGGUAUGUACUGUCCGGCUGGGCCUUACCUCUUGGUGAGCCGGCAUGCCCUUCACUGGGUGUGUUGGGGAACCAGGACUUUUACCUUGAGAAAAUUAGAGUGUUCAAAGCAGGCCUAUGCUCGAAUACAUUAGCAUGGAAUAAUAAAAUAGGACGUGCGGUUCUAUUUUGUUGGUUUCUAGAGUCGCCGUAAUGAUUAAUAUGGAUAGUUGGGGGCAUUGGUAUUGAGUCGCUAGAGGUGAAAUUCUUGGAUUGACUCAAGACCAACUAUUG
rnacentral:rRNA from 1 species